CCCCUGAAGACCACAAUGAGAAGUCCAUUUGUUGGAAUUAGGAGACUCACCCUGGAAAGGAAGAGAUAUGAAUCUUUGUUGCUGAUGAUGUCAGCUUGUACCUGGAAAUGGGAGGCUGCAUUCCCCAGAUCCUGCUCUGAAGCAAGCAGGAGGAACACUUGAACCCACGUGUCCCUGUGUGAGAUGAAUGUCAUGGUCCCUGGGACAAGGUUUUGGUAUUUCCACUGUGGUCAAUAAAGACAAUAAAGACAAUAAUCUGCAGUGAUUUUGCUUCUUCAGGA